CCUACGGGAGGCAGCAGUGGGGAAUUUUGGACAAUGGGGGAAACCCUGAUCCAGCCAUUCCGCGUGAGUGAAGAAGGCCUUCGGGUUGUAAAGCUCUUUCGGCAGGAACGAAACGGUUACGGUUAAUACCUGUGACUACUGACGGUACCUGAAGAAGAAGCACCGGCUAACUACGUGCCAGCAGCCGCGGUAAUACGUAGGGUGCGAGCGUUAAUCGGAAUUACUGGGCGUAAAGCGUGCGCAGGCGGUUAUGCAAGCCAGACGUGAAAGCCCCGGGCUUAACCUGGGAAUGGCGUUUGGGACUGCAUGGCUAGAGUACGUCAGAGGGGGGUGGAAUUCCACGUGUAGCAGUGAAAUGCGUAGAGAUGUGGAGGAACACCGAUGGCGAAGGCAGCCCCCUGGGAUGAUACUGACGCUCAGGCACGAAAGCGUGGGGAGCAAACAGGAUUAGAUACCCUGGUAGUCCACGCCCUAAACGAUGUCGACUAGUUGUUGGGGAACUUGAUUCUUNAGUAACNCAGCUAACGCGUGAGUACGACCGCCGUGGGAGGUACGGUCGGCGAAGAAGUUAAAACUUAACUAAAUAGUUAAGUUAGUACGGACGUUGAGACGUUGCCGAACGGACGACGACGAGGGGAGGAGGAG
rnacentral:rRNA from 1 species